AGUUCCUCCACCUAUUUGGGAAUCAUGAUUAUUAGUUGCAAGUGUUGUUCAUUUGUUUUUCUUGAGCCUGAUUUCUCUUUCCCGUGUGAACUCUCGUUCCCGUGGAGCGGGUGUUGAGGUUACUAUAGUAAUCCUAGCCCAUAAUAGUUCGGUCUUUUCCUUUAAAAGGCUGAUGCUUGCCUGCAAUAAACGUCGCCUUGAUCAGACUCUUGUCUUGGCGUCCUUCCUUUCUCUCUGCCCCAUCUCCACCCCGCUGCUCUUUCAGGUUUGAGACACUGCUGGACAGUGCUCUGCGUUGCUGGCUCACUACAAGGCCACACGACACCUCCAGGGAAAAGGGAUAUUUUUCCUGGAAAGCAGCAGCGAUGAGUGAGCAACAGAUCACUGACACGGAAGCCGAAGUGAGUGCAGCAAAAGCCAGGGACUUCAGAGAUAGAAGAACUCAGACUGGAAUAAGGGUCUUGCAACCCUGAGCAAGUUGACAUUUCUGUGACUUGCUUUCUUCAGCCCUAAGACAAGGCCAUGUGGGAGUACUGGUUGUGCAGGAGACUGGAGAUGGUGCCAGACAACCCUGCCUGAUGCCCACUGCAGCAGAGUGCACUUACCGCGUAUCCUCCCUGCCACUGAGUGCGGGCACACGAAGCCCUGGAAGGCUGCUCCAGGGUUGGCUGGACAUCCUGACAGCCCGUGGCCAGCCCCAUGUCCCGACAGCAGUCAGCAGUCCCCAGAGGUGCCCAGCGCACGUGGCCUGGGCCCACGGCUCUGUGGGACAGAUGCCCAGGCUUCAAAGGAGGCCCUCAGAGCAGCCUCUGCCUCCCAAGCACUUCUUCCAGAGCGCAGCUGAGGCAGGCUCAAAGCUAAAUAUGUGGACUGAAGGAGAAGGAAAAUGCAGUUCCUUGGGGAAUCUCACCCGAGAUGCCGAGGCUGAGGGCAUCAAGAGCAGCAGCCUGUGCAGCCUUGGGUCCCGGCCGGCAGCCUGCAGCGUGCUGGAACCAUGGGGGUGGCUCUGGUCUGCAGAACCAAGCAGCGCAGGUGAAGGGCUGGGACAGGAUGCUGGCCUUCUGCAGCCAGACUGACCAUUCGGUCCCAGGGAAGGGUUUCUGCUGAGUCACCACAGUGCCCAGAGUAACACGAAGGGAAAGCAUGGCAGUGAGAGACAAAGACGGCCACAUUCAAGACUCCAUCCAGCCUUCCUCGUCUUGUGCCUCCCAGCCCGAGAGAGGUCCGUGUCCUCCGGAAGUGAACACAGUGAUGAGACCCUCCCUGGCCCCUCCGGAGUGUACUGGCUUCACUGGCGGCAGGGUGCACCUCAGGUCCCUUCCUCCUGCUGGGCCUCGCUCGUGGUGACAGUGGUUCCCUGCCUGCGGGGCUACCUCUGCCCAGAUCUCUGCUCUGUUUCAGGGGCUCCUCUACCACAUCCCGGUCGGACCGACAGCCCAACUUUGCUUGAUGAGAAUUGUUGGGCCCUGUGUCCACUGGGAAGCAGUCUCGAUUUAAAUCGCUAUUUUCCAACUGCUUGCCAUGUUGGCACUGGAAAGGGUACGGUCUACUUCCCCCAGCAGGCAUCCCAUCCUCAGCCCUUACUCCCGCUGCCCAGGUCACCCUUGCUGUGGAGUCAGUCCGCGAUUGUCGACCGGAGCUGGCUGACGCCUCCUUCCCUGUCUGGUAAUCGGGCUCCAGGUUCUGAGUGCCUGGGGCUGCCCUGCCCGUCUCCUCUGUUAGGCUACUCCUCUUCUUCAUUCCUGCCCACACGUAUCAGUGCGCCAGACAGGACUGAUCCGCAGGCUGGCAGACCUGACUUCCAAAUAUAAAUCUGUCCAGACCUCGCUCCUGAGCUUCAGCAAGCAGCUAGGAGACGGCUCCAUCUGGACGUCCCACUGGCAACUCAAAUCUGGCUUCUGAACAGGAGUAGUUUCCCUCGAUCUCCUGGAAAACUGCUCUUUAUUCCUCCUGCUCUUGUUCUCUCUGCCAAGCUUAGCCAUCACAUGGUGUCAACCUCUCCUUGCGCACGCCUCACUCCUUAGUCUCCCCCUCGCCCAUCCUCUGGGACCGGCCCUUCCCUCUACCCCUGCACCCACUGCUUCUCGCCUGACCCUCUCAGUUCCCUUGGAGAAUGCAGCAGGCUUGGUUUCCGCUCUGGGUUCCUGGUAGUUAGCUGGGUGCAGAGUCCCUGGAGUGACAUCUCCGGAAGGGGAUGCAUCUGCCCUUCUUCCUGCUGAUGACCAGGUGGUGGCUUUUCACUGUCAUCAAAGGCUAAUGUCUAAACUACAUCAGGAGCCUGUUGUAGUGCAUUUUUUGUUGUUGAUAAUUGACUCCUGCAGGCGAGGUAUUUUUGAAAAUAAGGUUUAUCUAAUUCGAAGUUCUGGAAGCCCAAGGUUGAGGGGCCACAGCUGACAAGGGCUGCUUGCUGGAAGACUUUCUGCAGUGACCCAAGGGACCCUGGGCCUCGUCUGGUGCAAGACAGCAAGACAUCACAUGGCCCCACCAUGGCCGCAGGUCUGGCCUGCAAACCCCAGAGUCAGAUCAGGUCUCCACCCUCUCAGUGCCUCCCACUGGGGGGCAGGCUGGGGCGAACCACAGUCAGGGCUUCAGGACCCAGCUCCACCCCACUGUCCAGAUCUGGUGCGAUGGAGUUCCCAAGUGCUCCCAGGCCUGGUCAUCUCCUUAACGGAGCGCUCUUUCUGGCCCAUGUCCUUUAGCAAGUCUGUUCUCUCCCUGGGGUGCUCCUCCUCUCAGAGGGUACUCAAUUAUCUCCCGGCCCUGGAAACGGCCCUCUCCAGGUAGAGCCCCUGGGUGCACACUGCGGUGUGUUCUGUUUCUUUGCUCUGGCUCUGGGUCCUGCUGCUGACACGGCACAGGGACCUAGAAUGCAGCGGGUACUCGGGGCACUUGCUUUGCGAAGCCGCUAAGGACAUGAAAGCACGGGGGCUGUGCCUCGGGCUCCUGCCCGUCUCCACCUUGAAGCAGCCACCCGGCUGUAGCAAGGCAGCGGCCUUCCAGGACAACACGGGCAGAGCCAGACCAAGGCGGAUGGAGGCGCCCACAGAGGCCAUCCUGGCCUCGCCGCUCCCAGCCUUCCCCACCUCACUCAGAAUUAGAAUUAAAUCGCCAGUGGGGAGUGGGUGAAAGGAGAAUAAGUUUCAAUAGGACAGGGUUUUCUGCCUCAGCUGUCCUCUUAAUCACAAAACACUGAAUCUCCUCCAUAAUACACAGGUUCAAAAUUAUUUUGAUUUACAGAAUAAUAUUUUGAGCACCUACGUGUUCAAUUACAAUGUUUAUGUGAUGAACUGAAGUUUUGUGGGGCAGUCAGUAUGCGUCUGAAAUUCCUCCCUCUCCCUUCUCUGCAGGAAAACCUUCCAAUCAUCAUGUAGAUUUAAGUUUGGAUUUCUUACCCCAUCCUCCACACUUUUGUAAUUAGCUACUCACCAAGUCUGGGCAUUUCUAGACACACAGUCUCUUCUCCGCCCUGGUGCCUCGAACUCAUGGCCUCGAUGUUCACCUGUGAAACUGCAGAAGCAGGCCAUGCUGUGAGGGAAAGUGAGGGGCCCGAGCUCCUCGCUGUUGGCCACUCAGGACCACAGCUCUGUGACGCAACUGUGUGCCCAGGCAGCUGCCGCCAUCCAGCAAUGGCAGACCACCAGGGUUCUCCGAGCUCCACUCCCAGUGUGGCCAAGGCUGUUCAUAGCACUGGGCACCUUGACCGCAGAACAUUUCAACUCUGAUUCCAAUCCCAAGAACGCUGCAUAGAAUGAUUCUCUUGAGAAAUUUGUCAACCCCAUAGAAUUUUAAAGCAAGGGUUACUUGAGUGAGUCCCAUCAAGCUGAUUCAUGAUUAAUACAACAGAAUAUAUUCUAUUUUAUCACUAUUUUCAACAGAUCAGUUAUUAAAUUAUGUAACUGGGG
rnacentral:lncRNA from 1 species